GACGAACGCUGGCGGCGUGCCUAAUACAUGCAAGUAGAACGCUGAAGGAGGAGCUUGCUCUUCUGGAUGAGUUGCGAACGGGUGAGUAACGCGUAGGUAACCUGCCUGGUAGCGGGGGAUAACUAUUGGAAACGAUAGCUAAUACCGCAUAAGAGUAGAUGUUGCAUGACAUUUACUUAAAAGGUGCAAUUGCAUCACUACCAGAUGGACCUGCGUUGUAUUAGCUAGUUGGUGGGGUAACGGCUUACCAAGGCGACGAUACAUAGCCGACCUGAGAGGGGGAUCGGCCACACUGGGACUGUGACACGGCCCAGACUCCUACGGGAGGCAGCAGUAGGGAAUCUUCGGCAAUGGACGGAAGUCUGACCGAGCAACGCCGCGUGAGUGAAGAAGGUUUUCGGAUCGUAAAGCUCUGUUGUAAGAGAAGAACGAGUGUGAGAGUGGAAAGUUCACACUGUGACGGUAUCUUACCAGAAAGGGACGGCUAACUACGUG
rnacentral:rRNA from 1 species